rnacentral:rRNA from 1 species
ACAGAAGGAAUACCAGUGGCGAAGGCGGCCACCUGAACAAUAACUGACGCUCAUGUACGAAAGCGUGGGGAGCAAACGGGAUUAGAUACCCCGGUAGUCCACGCCGUAAACGAUGUCAACUAGCCGACUGGUGCCUUGAGCACUGGGUGGCGCAGCUAACGCAUUAAGUUGACCGCCUGGGGAGUACGGCCGCAAGGUUAAAACUCAAAUGAAUUGACGGGGGCCCGCACAAGCGGUGGAGCAUGUGGUUUAGUUCGAUGCAACGCGAAGAACCUUACCUACUCUUGACAUCCACAGAACUUAGCAGAGAUGCUUUGGUGCCUUCGGGAACUGUGAGACAGGUGCUGCAUGGCUGUCGUCAGCUCGUGUUGUGAAAUGUUGGGUUAAGUCCCGCAACGAGCGCAACCCCUAUCCUUAGUUGCCAGCGAGUAAAGUCGGGAACUCUAGGGAGACUGCCGGUGAUAAACCGGAGGAAGGUGGGGACGACGUCAAGUCAUCAUGGCCCUUACGAGUAGGGCUACACACGUGCUACAAUGGCGUAUACAAAGGGUUGCGAAGCGGUGACGUGGAGCCAAUCUCAAAAAGUACGUCGUAGUCCGGAUUGGAGUCUGCAACUCGACUCCAUGAAGUCGGAAUCGCUAGUAAUCGUAGAUCAGAAUGCUACGGUGAAUACGUUCCCGGGCCUUGUACACACCGCCCA